rnacentral:lncRNA from 1 species
GGAAUAGUCACAAUCUGUAUGGCUUCGGUAGGGAUGCACUAGCUUUGAAAGAAACGUGCAGUUUUCAGUAUGUGGAAGAAAUGUUCAUGCCAAGCCUGUGAUUUCAUAUUCCAUGUGAAAAGGACAUUGUGUUCUUCCACAGAGGCAAAACACAGAAAUUAUUGAAUAUCUUUCCUCAGGACUGUGCACAUCUCUCUAUUUUGUAAUGAGCUCAGCGCACUUCUGAGUUUGGGCUUCAUACAUCUACAAACACAAUUAUUGCAUUAGCAACUAACGUAAUAUUGCAUUAUUUCCUGUUCAGGAGCUUGAUAAGACGGUGGAACCACACUGUAGUUCCAAGCAGAGUUCACAACAUUAGUUAACAUUUCUGAAUAAUAACAAAAGUAUAUCCCCAAAACAACUCAGGCUUGUUUCAAGUGACUCAAGUACAUGUCCUGCAGCUGUGGGAUUGGAAAGCUCAAAGCUGCACAAACAACAAAUAUAUGGAGAGAUGCCUAUAAAGCAGCUUUAAAUUUGGCUGGGGCUUAGGAACGGAAGAAUCUGAGUUGCAAACCUUGGAUGAAAAGUGACUUUUUUAAAAAGACAUUUGUUAAUAAAAAGCAGCUUUCAUCCAAGCAGGGAGGGGGUGCUGAGACACUGCAUGCAUGUGGCAGCACUGCCUGGUGUGAGCCUUCUCUUUCUGCUGAAGAGGAGAGCUCAUAUUUGCACAGCAGAAACCUGUGUGGAAUUUGUCUUGUCACCUGAGUAUCACCAAGACUUUCCUCCCUUUCCUCUUCCUCUUUCUCUUUGUGUGUCUCAUGGGGACAGCAGGCUUGGGAAAGGUGCUCUCAGCUGCACGAGGUAGUGGAGGCUUCUCCAAGGGAUGUCCCUGCCUGCAGUGAAUCCCGUGGGCAGCAUGGGGCACAAAUGUGUGUUUUACCUAUGUGUUUUGCCUGCUGCCUGCCCACAGCAGCCAUUAUGGUGUGGGGCACUUGGUGACAGAGCCCCAGUGGAGAUGUGCAGUGGAGAUGGCUGAGGACGCUGCAGAGAAAGUCCAAAGGUCAUCAUUUGGUCUGACUUCCGGAGCAAUCCAGCCUUUUUUAGGCAACUGGAGCUGACAGGGAGCAGUAUCUUUUCCGAUGUCAUUUGGCCCCACCUGGGUAGGCAAUGAGUGUUCCAGCCCCGCUCGAUGCUCUCAGUGAUAAGAGAUCUGUAUGUCAUUUGUAUUUCACUGUUUCCUGCUUUUGCUCAUUUCCAGGGCCUCUUCUACCAACUGAAUGAGCAGAAGGGGAGGCUGCUGCCUGCCUCAGAGCAGGAAGGAUAUAUGAGAUUAUUCCACUGAUGGGCUAUACAUCAUCAGUGUCUAAUGGGCUUCCUGCAUGGGGAGAGGGUAAGGGUUAUGUAAAGGAGGGAAAUUGAAUUUCAUCUUGCUCUACUGUCUCUUGGAAUCAUCAGAAAAAUAGGGUUGGGACCUGGAAAGCCAUAGCUGCUUUUCAGCCUCCUGAUUCCCUUGGGAUAUUCAGUGAUUUCUCUGUGAGGGGCAGAGAGGAAGAGAUGAGGAAAUGGAGCCCUUCAAAUCUUUUGUGCACUGACUCAUUAUCAGCCAGUUUCCCAUUUAUUUUAUUUCCCUUUUCCUGUCCAGGCAACUUUUUGUGGUUCCCAUUGGUAAGCCAAGGGGCUAUGUGACAAAUUUUGCUUGGGUUCUGAUUUACACAGUGAAUAUCAAGGGUGAUGUGGAUGGCAGAAGGGGAUGGAGAGUCUUUAGCCUGUGGUAUUUUCCUAGGCUUUAUAAAUGGCUAGUUUAGCUCCAUCUCAAUAGCUGGGAAGCUAAUUUUUCCUUCCAAACUGCUGCUGUUCACACAAUAAACAUGUUCUCAGUUAUGUCAGGAAAGACACUUGAGGAAAGGAGCGUAAGAGCUCCAGGCUUUGUCUGGUUGAAACUCCAAGAAAAAAAAAUCUGGAUUUCAUUGAUUGUAUAAAGUGCCAGGUUUUGGCUGGAGGAUUCCAGACAGGUGAAAUCUCUGACCUGCCGCUAGUGGUGGAUACAGAAAGGCCUGCUUGCUUGUGUUGUCAUGGGUCAUAUGUUGGUGUUCAUAUGGGGUUACUACAGGUUUUGACAAUAAAUUCUGACUUUAGGGAACACUUAAGUGACUGGGAGGUAAGGGGUCAAACUCUCCUUCUUACCCUACUUGGUUCCUGUUGAGAGGCAAUGGAGUGGGACCACAAAUUGUAGAUGGAAAUCUGAUAUCUAAGCUUUCUUGGGAGAAUCAAUUCCCUCCACCCCCAGAUGCUGGCAGCCUGGCUGGACAGAUUUACUGUGAUUUGAGGAAAGGGACAGGGAAAGAGAUGUAAGAGAUUGCAGCCUUCCCUUUUCUUGGUCCCACAACUGAAAAACAGAGAGUCAAUAUUUCUCAUGAGAGCUUCAUGGGCUGUUUGGCUUUUGGUUUUGGGGAGGAAACAAAAAAUAUGUCUGUCUCCUAGAUACUCCUGGGUGUGUUUAAAUCGGCGGCUGUCUGUGCAUUCAAGCCCCUCUGUAUAAUGAACCCAGACAAAGUUGCUAAUGGGACUGAAUUAUAAGAAGUCCUUCUUGCUCCAGUUAGCAAGAGCUCCAGUAUGCCACCAGGGCCCUCUUGGUGCCCGUGGGUGACCUCCAGCUGGUGGAGCUGAGCACGUUCAUGGCAGUCCCCUGCGAUGGAGGGCUAAGCUCCUCUUAGGCUUGUGCUAACAAGUGAUGUUUCGCAGGCAAGAGAAAACUGCUCCCAUUUAUCAGAAAAUAGGGGUGAGUUUCCGCAGAGCAGCUGGGAAGUGUGAACUCCCUCCAAUGAACAUGGUUGUGUGAGGAAGGCCCCAGCUUUCUGCUGGCUUUGGGAGUGUGUUGGUGUGCUGUGCAGCCCUUCUCCCCCCAGCUGCUUCUCUGCCUGAUGACAAGUGCCACAGGGGUAGCUGCCCAUGAAGAAAGCUUGGUUUUGCCUCAUGCCCUCAGCCUGCUUCUCCCAAUGAAUACCAUCAGUUUGUGUGUGAAGUAUGUGACCUCCCUGGCAUGGCAUCUCAAUGUGGCAAAACAGAGCCACGCUGCCCUGUAAUGUCAGGUCUGCACGGCAGGGCCCUUCCAGGCAGCAACACAGCGGCAUGGAGAGAAGGGUUUGGUUUCAAACAAUGAUAUCAUUGACAGGCUGGAGCAGGACCAAGAUCACUCCACGUCAGUCAACAGCAGAAACAGUCUCAAGCCAUCUGUACAUUAUGGCACCGAGCCACUCUUCCUUCGCUUGGCUUCCUUGCUUGUAUUUAACCCAGCUCCCAAGGCUUUCUGGGGAACAAAUCCUGCCAAGAGCAGGCUAGUCCACCCUGAACUGGAUCUUGGGGAACGACUGAUCUUGCCGAAAGCCGGUCACUGUUGGAAAGGUGUGAGGGCCUCUCUAGAACAUCCUGAGAGCUCAUGUGUAGCUUACCCUGGCCUCAAACAGCCCCACGUGGCUGCAGCUGGGACUGAGGCUUAGCAAAGGAGAGUGCUCCCAUCCAAAACCAGCUUUUCCCCUUACUUCAUCAAUUCUUCAUGCUGAUAACUCCUCUAAUGAGGGACUGCAUGCUGCCUUUUAGGAAGAUGAUGUGUGCUAGCAAUCUGCCAGCUGCCUGACUGGAUCUCAGAAGCCUUUAAGUGAUGCUAUUUUGCAUCUAGGCUUUUGCAGCUUCAUCUUGAGCUGCUGGAGGGGUAGUCACUGAGAUGUGUAAUGUAACAAAGAAAGGAUCAAAUGGUACUGCUUUUUCCAGCAAGGAGGUGAGCUCUGUGCCCUUCUGGAGCAGUGAAGCAGGUCUCUCGGUGCUUUGCAGGGCUGAGCUCCCCUGGAAUCAGCUGUUCAGCCUGGCAGUGGUGCUGUCCUGAAACGAUGAUAGAUGAGGUUUUGGGGUAUGUGUGUCUUAUUAAUUUCUCCAGUUUUUUUCUAAGAGUGACAAGACUGGCUGAUAACUCUGAUGUACUCUGAGAUGGAAAGGCGGCUUCUUUUCUUUUUAUUUACAGCCUGGUGGAAAGCUUGAUGCUAGCUGAGGAAGAGAGUGGGGCUGAGAAUGAACUUUCAGAGGCUCAAAGUGAGAUAGCACCCCAAGAGUGUUGCAAGAACAAGAUGUUCUGUUGGUUUUCCUCUUUCCUCACUGACCUGCUCACCGCACACCGUGCAAUGCAGUGUGAGAGCCCUUCUUAGUGCUGCAAGAGUCCCCAGGCUCUCCUGCGUUAAGGCAGGGUAAGGUCUUCAAAACAGGACUGUUUCAAGCUCAGAAUAAGCAGCUGGACUUUUUAUAUGGAGCCUGCAGUAUAGGAAUGAACUAGUAGAGAGAGGCUUGAAAGUUGUAACAUGGCACUGCUCAGCCAGAUGCUUUCCAUUCAGCAGCUGCAUAAGUAACCUUAGAAAUGCAGGCAGAUCUUUCAGCCCCUUAAGCCACCCUAGAAGGUGCUAGAGCCUCAGGCUGCAGGUAGAAAGAGAUGUGCACACAGCGAGUGUUGUGUGGCAUCAUCCUGUGCCCUGAAACCUGAUGUGCUGGGCUCUGGUGCUCAGUAUGGCCCAGCUCAACACUGGGGCUGGACGGCAGCACCAUGGGCCUGGGGAGGAGUCAUAGCACUGAGGAGUUUCAUGGUCGAUGCUGGAGGAGAGAUAAAAUAGCUAUUCAUAGUGAAUGCUUUCCAAGAAUAAAGGAGUGGGAAGAAAACAUAAGCGUGCUUGUUUGGGAAUGAAGCAAAUAAGCUGUGCGAGCCUCAGCUACUGGAAAUCCAUGGGCUGGUGUCUAAUUCUGGCUUUAGUAGCACUGGGCAGAUGAACACUGGCUUACUGUCUACUCUUGAGAUGACAGUCUUACACAGACCAGAUACCUGCCAGAGCACAUUGCUCAAGGCAAUUUCCUGUGAGUUAAUGCAAUCUGUUGAUUAAACAUUUGUUUCUUGCAGCCUCAUGCUGAGCAAGCUACUGCAGUCAGGGAGAUGAAGGGAGUUACUUUCUGUGGGAUGGUGCUUUUGUGCUUAUCUUCAGUUUACAGACCUGAGAUAGCUGAACGCAGCAAUCUCUCCUUCUGAUCACUGACAGGAUCCAGUGAUGAGAAUUAACACAUCAGAAAGAAACAAAAUGAGCUUUCCUGGCGACAGUGAACUUUGAAAGUGGAGAUAAAAGCUGUUGCAUUCCCGACAUCAAAUGCUAUCAAAUGCAACAGUGGCACACAGUUUUGUCUGACACUAAGCCAUCAUACUUGUUCAGGUGUCCGAGUCUUUAGAUGCUGGAUGGGGAGGGCACUUUCAAACACUGAUAAAAGGUUGGAUUUCCUGUUGCUCUGGCCUAAUUUAAUUUGAUACCACAAGCACCCAAUCCCUUAUUUAAACAGAAAGGCUUUCAGGGUAGAUUAGACCUGACUGCCACACACCAAAACCCAAGGCA